UACAGAGGUCUCAAGCGUUGUUCGGAUUCAUUGGGCGUAAAGAGUGCGUAGGUGGCGUCGUAAGUCGGGUGUGAAAUUUCGGAGCUUAACUCCGAAACUGCAUUCGAUACUGCGGUGCUUGAGGACUGGAGAGGAGACUGGAAUUUACGGUGUAGCGUGAAAUGCGUAGAGAUCGUAAGGAAGACCAGUGCGAAGGCGGGUCUCUGGACAGUUCCUGACACUGAGGCACGAAGGCCAGGGGAGCAAACGGGAUUAGAAC
rnacentral:rRNA from 1 species